UACGUAGGUGGCAAGCGUUGUCCGGAAUUAUUGGGCGUAAAGCGCGCGCAGGCGGUCCUUUAAGUCUGAUGUGAAAGCCCACGGCUUAACCGUGGAGGGUCAUUGGAAACUGGGGGACUUGAGUACAGAAGAGGAGAGUGGAAUUCCACGUGUAGCGGUGAAAUGCGUAGAGAUGUGGAGGAACACCAGUGGCGAAGGCGACUCUCUGGUCUGUAACUGACGCUGAGGCGCGAAAGCAUGGGUAGCGAACAGG
rnacentral:rRNA from 1 species